UGUGUACUCCCUCCAUUCCAAAAUACUUGACUUCCAUUUGUCCAAAAAUGGAUGUACCUAUAUACUAAGACAUGUCUAGAUACAUAUAUAUUUUGACAAAUAGAAGGCAUGUAUUGUGCAACGGAGGGAGUAUAAU
rfam:Triticum aestivum genome assembly, contig: Triticum_aestivum_CS42_TGACv1_scaffold_116083_2AS